rnacentral:tRNA from 1 species
GAGGUUGUGGCUCAGUGGUAGAGUGCUCAUCUAGCAUGUGUGGGGCCCUGGGUUCAAUCCUCGGCAGCACUUA